rnacentral:rRNA from 1 species
UAGAGAUAGCUGGUUAUUCAAGAAAAGGAUGUAAGUCCAACUUUAAAUCUCUACAUAAAACCAAAUAUUCCAACAGAUUUAAGCUUCAUUCAAAUAAGGCACAGCCUAUUUGAAACAGGGUACAACCUAUUACACAGGGUAAUGGUUUUAUCACGUGACUAAGUAGGCCUAAGAACAGCCACCUUUUAAAAAGCGUUACAGCUUCCUCACAUUCUACCACCAAUCCCAACCAACACUCAAACCCCUUCACUAAUAUUGAAUGACUCCAUGCCCCCAUGGAAACCCCCAUGUUAGAACUAGUAACAAGAAUCGCCAUUCUCCCAUAACGCAAGUGUAAGCCGAACCGAACAGCUCGCCGGCACUUAUCGCCCAUGAACUAACAGUAGUAACCCAACAAGAAAAGCCUACUUGUCCCAGCGUUAAUCUUACACUAGAGUCUUUCAGGAAAGAUUAAAAAAAGAGGAAGGAACUCGGCAAAUAUUAACCCCGCCUGUUUACCAA